UAAGCACCGGCUCGGGUUGGGGCGGGCCGUCGCUGGGAAGCACCGCCCCUGAGUGCUUAUGCUGGUGGGAGGGAGAGGAAAUGGAAUUCCCCGGACUGGUUAGAGCGCGCGCCGACACGUCCGUCUCUCACGCGCCCAAUCAGGAAUGUGCUGUGGGAGGUACCACGAACUAAUUACUAGAUAACUUUAGCCCUGGUUGACCCGUGCUUUUGAAGUUUUCGGGGAAGCAGGUGAGCAAUAUUUUACUCGCCUGCCCAUCCGGGCCGGUUAACCAAUGGGAGGAGGCACCUCUCAAAAUGAAACAGUCAUUUUAAAUAGAACCAGGCGAACCGCUGAUCAGCGCUCUCACGUGCCAAAAUAUAGCGCAUUUCUGGCCUAGAGGAUCAGUACCGAGAAGAGUGGACUCAUACACUCGUUCCCAGAAUGACAGCGGCCUAGAAAUCAAACUCAACAGUGAAUUGAUUAACUUGGGGGAUAGGUGCGGACUAGUUAUUUGCCUUUCACCAUCCGCCAAGGUUGAGAAGCCAGUAUACAAGAGUGGUAGGAAACAUUCCUAUUGACCCAAAGGGAACUCACAGUAUCCAGGAGGUCCCUUAAGAAAAGUCCCAGAUAAGCCAAUUUGUAUUACCCUGAUCUAAACAAGCUUCAGUAUGAAAGUAUAAAGGAACAUGUUAAUGCUCUGAAUUAACAAACCACAGCGGAGUGGGACAAAUUUGAGGUCAGAGUUCUUUACUUUUUUUGUGCCGCAGACCAUUUUGGCAGUCUGGCAAAGCCAUUGACUCUUCUCAAAAUAAUGUUUUUAAAUGUAUAAAGUAAAAUUCAUAGCAAUAGUUGUAAUGUGAUAUAAAGUAUCUCAUUCCUAUUGGUGAUACAGACAUACGUAUAGCUAUUUGCUGCUUACAUUCAAAAUUGAAGGAAAUACUACAUUUCAGUUCGAGAUUAGUAAAAAUAAAGCAGUAAUUUUUUUUCCCCAACUGAAUUCACAUACUUCCUAUAUUCUAUCCAUGAACUUCAUGAUAAAAAAUUUUAGGUAAAGUCAAGUGGGCUUAUUCCUGUUGGUAAGCCUUGAAAGGAUUGUGAAAUGUUAUUCAAUUAUAACUUAUAUUCAUAACAGUAGUGAUUCAUUAAUCACUAAAAUUCAUUUAAAAAAGCUUAAUUACUACCAGUAUAUUCUUAUUAAGAAUGCAUGGAAGUACAUAAUAGGUUUAGGAAAUAGUUUUGUCCUAUUCGUUGAUUUUUUUUUUUUCUAUGCGUAUAAACGUACCCUAUGGAAAACUUACCUAUCCAGAUGACUCAUUUCCCAAGCAUUCUGGUAACUUAGGUUUUACUGUAUCACUUUUAUUUAUUACACGCCUUUGCAAAUAAGAUGUGGUGGAAGAACUGCAAAAUUAAAAUAAUAACCUACAAUGAAAUUAAAAUACUGUGUAAAUUUCUUAAAAAUAAGUGUUAAUAAUUGUUACUUGAAGCACUAUGUAUGGGGUCUCUUAAUUCAUUAUCUCAUCAGAUACCCAUUAUAUAGAUGAAACACUCAGGCUCAUAAAAUUAUUAAGUAGUAGAGUCAGGAUUUAAUACUUGUGUACUUCUGUACCCCCACCCCCACCCCUGCCACAGGAUUCCUGUGUGUCUCUUUAAACACAUAAAAAU